GGCGUGAGCAGAAGGUGAAGGGGACAGAGAUGGCAACGAAGGGGCUUUUCGGGUGCUUGAUGCCCAUGUCGUCUCCUCCGUGGGCGCCUCCGUGACGCUCCCAGAAGAUCCUUCUGCCUCCAACCCAUGGAGAACUCGGGAUGUGGCGCCUGCUGUGACACUGGGGUGAUUUUUCUCUUUUGGCCUGUGACAUGUUUACAGUGGUCAACGUUGUCUUGCUGAUGCAGAGCGCGACUUUGAUCUCCCCUUCUGGGUGGCUGAUGAGGCUGGCCUGUCCCUUAUAAAAUACGGAGAGUUUUUGUAUGAUAACUUGAUCGUCUUCUUGCCAUCUGUGCAAGGUAAAUAGGUGAAGGAAAAGCUCUGGAAAAAGCAUGAGCUCUGUUGCAGCCUAGUGGCGUUUUUGAAAAGGGAUUUCAGAGCGUUUUAUGAAUAUUGAUAAAGUUAUGCAUUGUUGCUGUUGUUCUGCCUUUCUUAUAGCUGGUAGCAGCUCUCCAAGAUGAAAUGAUGCUGUGGGUACAGUUAAGAUUAACUGAGCUUCCUGGCAGGCCUUAGCUGUACUAAUGGUUCUUCUAGCCAUGAUAAAAGCGAUUUGAUAUGCGGCUGUGGUGUUAGUUGUGGAAGCUUAGGCUUAUUUCUGAGAUGUGGGCUGCAGCAGAUGAUAGAGGGGUGAAUGUCUGCGUUUUCAGAUUUUGGCAGAAACAUCAAUAUGGAGACCAUGACUGCUUUCAUUGACAGUGGUGGCAGUGUCCUCGUAGCUGCCAGCUCAGACAUUGGCGAGUACAAAUGCUUGUCAGAUGAAGUAGUGUCAUGCCAGAUAAGGCAGUGUCAUGAACAAAUCAGUGUGCGUCAGCUACUUUGUGUAACAGGUACCUUUGCAUGCUUAUCUCCUGCAGUGAGUGGAUAGCUUAUUCCCCCUUCUUUGAGCUACUGCAAGAAAGCUGAUGACAAAAAAACAUGCUACCUCGUUGGUCUGUAGCCCAGAGCCAUUUAGCUUUGUGUUUUGCAGAUGCGCUGUAGGAAUUCACACCUGGAGAGGAAAAGAGAACUUUUUCUGUGUCAUCAAAACCAUUAAAGUACUGACUAUAAUAUUGUGAAAGGGAACCUUAACUGGAUGGUCCUCUGUGCAUUCAGUUUCUUGUUGUGAAUCUCAGGGUUGUACUGAAACUUCUUGGAGGGCAUGAGUGACAGACUUGGGAUAAGACAACAAAACUGCCUCAGCGACAUUGUUGAUGGGAAUUUAGCUGAGGGAGGUUGUGAAAGCGAGCGGUUUGGCUAAUAGGGUGCUGAGCGCAUGUCUGCAGGCUGUACUUGCUUUUGAUGCUGACUGUUCAGAUCGACAUUGCGUCCUUCUGAGCACGCUGCAUAACUGAGGAUUUGUUUUGUCCUGCCGGGUACCCCCUGUGCGAACUGGGUAGCGAGUGUGGGACAGAGCUUGAUGAGGAAAGGACAGCUGUCAUAGACCAGCAUAACUACGAUAUAUUGGAGCCAGGCCAGGGAAAACGCCUGCACUGUCACUGAUCUUGUGGUAAGGCCACAGAUGAUGGGGUUGGAACAUGCUCCUGUUCUUUGGUCAGCAAGAAACAUGGAAGCAGGUUUGUCUUUGCUUCACCCAUUAAAAAUUGGAGAGCUAGAUCUUUGAAUGAACUCUAUCAUUUCCAUUGGAUGGUGCCUUCAUGAGUCGGUGCUGAGAGAGCUGGCAGUGGUUGCAGUCACACAUUAAGUGUCUUGGUCUGGAGAAGCUUGUGACCUCUUUGUUAAAUGUUGCUGAUGUUCAAUAGUGAUUUCUUUUUUUCUCAGUAACCCUUGUGCAAAAAACUUGAGCCUGGUGGCUGGGCAUGCUCUGGAGCUUUUACUUGGUCAUUACUUGUCUGUCUUUCAGUACCGAGAUUUCAGACUUUGCUGUAGAAAGUAAAAUCGGGGCGUAUCAUGUGGCAAGCUGGAACAAACAUCUUAUUGCCUUUGAAGAUUGUAACUAUAAAACUUGAUUUACUGGAGAGGAUAAUUUCCAGCUUCAGCUGCCUAGGGAGCUGAAAAGUAUAGUUGGAGCUGUUUCAUGUCUCUAAAGUCUAUGUCUGCUUGCUUUUUGGCCACUGAGAGCCGAUUUGAUCGUUGAUAGCUCAGUUGUGUUUCUAAGAGGGCAAACAUACCUAAUCUGCUUUGGAAAAAGAAAUUUGGGAGAAUUCCCUCGCCACCUUGAAAUUUCUGACUUCUAUAGCAUCAUGCUCCGGCCUUGUUUGUCUUUAAUGUCCGUUUUUCGGGUAUUAGUCUUAUGCAAUAUUAAUGCAUUGUGGGUUUGUUGCAGGAGUGCAGCAUCGUUAUUGGAAAGCUCUCUGGUGGGAAGUGGGUCCCUUUUGAUGGAGGCGAUAUUCAGCUGGAAUUUGUCCGCAUUGAUCCAUUUGUCCAGACUUUCUUGAAGAGAAGUGGUGUCUGUGUGUCCCCUCCAGCACACGCCGUCUGAACGUUUUAUCCUCUCGGCAUAUCCGUACUAUGCCGGUGCCUUCUCUGUGAUGGUAGACCUCUUCAUGUUCAGCAUUGUCUUCUUGCACAUGAAGAAGAAGGAGAAAUAGUACUGAGCUCCCUAUGGCAGGAAGAGCCUUUUUUCAUAUCACUGGCACCACGCAGAGACCAGCAGCACUCAGGAUCCUUACUAUAACUUUUGAGGAGGCGCUGACGCCUGAGGAGCUUGACUGCCGUUUCUGAAAACGCCCGGCAGUGGGGUGGCAGGAGACAACGGCAAAGAGAUUCAAGGCUGCAGACAUCAGUGUCAUGUUGCUGGGGCUUGAAGGCGGCUCCAGGCAUCUCCCCUGGCUCCGGCCCUCUCUGCCGCAACCCUUGGAGCCCUCCCUUCUGCCCAUCAUCUCCUCGUCCCUCACAACAUGUCCCAGGGAGGACACUCAGCAGCAGUAGGAACAGCCGACUGAAUCUUACUUUCCCUGCAGACCCUAGCAUUAGAGGCCAGGGAACCUGGAGCAAUGCUCUGUUGAUGCACUGAAGCGCCAGAAGGCCCCAGGGAGGAGCACAGCACUGCAGAUAUGGGGAGCAAGGGAGGAUUCCCUGCGUAGGAGGAGCUGUCAGAACUGGCAUUUCACCUCUUGCCCACCCUCCACCAGCUCUUUGGGGCCACCAUUUCAGACUCCAGCUGCAAUGAGGAAGUGACCUUUUCCAGACCCCCCCCCUCCCCUGAAGGAGCGAGAACUGGAUUUUGCCUUCAUUUACCCCCCACUCAAGGAGCUGCUGCAGAAGCCGCAGCCUGCGUUUGCCAGCCCAUUCUGCUCCCCAGGAAGAGCAAAGCAGGACUUCGGCACGGUAGCUCUGCACUAAGGUGUUUUGGCUCUUGGAAAUAAAAAUUGGAGCAAG